rnacentral:lncRNA from 1 species
UUUUUUUUUUUUUUUGAGAUGGAGUUUUGCUCUUGUCGCCCAGGCUGGAGUGCAAUGGUGCAAUCUCGGCUCACUGCAACCUCUGCCUCCUGGGUUCAAGUGAUUCUCCUGCCUCAGCUUCCCCAGUUACUGGAAUUACAGGUGCCUGCCACCACACCUGGCUAAGUUUUUGUACCUUUAGUAGAGACGGGGUUUCACCAUGUUGAUCAGGCUGGUCUUGAACUCCUGACCUCAGGUGAUCCACCUGCCUUGGCCUCCCAAAGUGUUGGAAUUAUAGGCAUGAGCCACCACGCCUGGCCCCGGCCACCUUUUUCUAAUUUACACAAAAGUCCCCACACAGGUUUCCAGAAUUCCCUAUUUCCCUCCUCCUCCCACUAAGAGUUGCAGGUCAUCAGCACCUGUCACUUGCUAUCCUUUCAGGCUUUAGUAUUUUCUUUCUGGGUCCCAUGUAGUCCCCAUAACAACUCUCUGACUCAUUCUUCCCAUGAAGGCUUCUUCCUUCUGCUGUUUUCCUGGAAGUUGGUUCUUUGAAAACCAAACAAGACCCAAAGAGCACUCCACCAGAUGAGUCAGAUCCUGUAGGGACCAAGGUCUCCCACCACAGACCCUGGGACAGAUAGUCUGGCUCGGUGGCGAACACCAGCAGGGGUUGGUUUAGAAGCAUUUCCUGGAUGUUUUCAAGUCUCGAGUGUUUAGCAAAUCUUGAGUGUACAAAGGGCUGAAAUCCACCUUACCUUCCCUCCAGCGUCUUCCAGCAACCCCUAGAUGCAGACAGUGUGUUUAGGGCCCCUGGGGCUGUGGGAGAACCCUUUAGCACAGGGCCCAGCAAAUGCUUUCUGUAAAGGGCCAGAUGUAAAAAUAAUAAGGCUUUGGGGUCUUUUGUCUCUGUCACAACUACCCAACCUGACUGUCACAACUACCCUACCUGACUGGACACAACUGUGCUUCAAUAACAUUUUCUAAUGGGCACUGACAUUUUAAUUUCAUAUGAUUUUCACAUGUGCCAGAGGGUUAUGAUGCUUUUGAUUUUCUCCCUGCAACCGUGUAAAAAAUCAUUCUAGCUCUCAGGCUGCACGAAAGUAGACAGUGGGUAAAACUGGACCCACAGGCCAACUGUAGCCUUAGCUACUGGGGAGCUCAAACCAUAGUUUGCCGACCCAUGAGACAGAGCUAAGUUUUACAGGUCCGUCAACAAGUCAACCUUGGAUUCAAGUCCUCGUUAUUUAAUCAACCAUUGGUGUGAGUCAUGGCACGUUACUGAUCCUCUCUGAACCUCUGUUUCUUCUCUGUCACCUGGGGAUGGUGGUGUCUGUUGUUCCGGGAUUGACAGAGAUGAAGCACAUAAAGCACUUACCUCAGUGACUGGUGUGCACAGUCACUCUCUGUGGGUGAACCAUGAACUUGUAGCAGCCCAUUCGGAGGUCAGCGAGAGGGGGCGCGAACCUAAUGAGGUCAGGGGUCCUUUCCUGGAGGAAGUUGGGGGUGAGC